GCUGUCUCUGGGGAAGACAGCAGAGGAAGAAACUUAAUAAUUAUCCAAAGGAAGACGGUGCCUUGUCAAGAGAAGAAUUAAAUGAACGAAGUGCACUACCCUGGCCACGUGUGAGACAUCUGUCAGACUCUUUUCAUGUAGGGAGAAAAGUUGCUGAUGCGUUUCUGAUCAUUUUUCAGGAAGAUGGUGCUUUGUUUCAAUGGUGAGGAAGACUUUACAUAUUCAUCAGGUGAAGGAAUUAAGGAGAAAUUGUGGAGAAAUACAGAAUGCCACAAUGAAAACAAAUCCUGAAAAAGUAGAAGGGAAGUAAUGGAGAGAGUCCAGAUGAGUAGAGAUGAACCAAGUGUGUGGCAAC